rnacentral:rRNA from 1 species
AUUCUAGAGUUUGAUCAUGGCUCAGGACGAACGCUGGCGGCGUGCCUAAUACAUGCAAGUCGAGCGGACCGAYGGGAGCUUGCUCCCUUAGGUCAGCGGCGGACGGGUGAGUAACACGUGGGUAACCUGCCUGUAAGACUGGGAUAACUCCGGGAAACCGGGGCUAAUACCGGAUGCUUGAUUGAACCGCAUGGUUCAAUUAUAAAAGGUGGCUUUCAGCUACCACUUACAGAUGGACCCGCGGCGCAUUAGCUAGUUGGUGAGGUAACGGCUCACCAAGGCGACGAUGCGUAGCCGACCUGAGAGGGUGAUCGGCCACACUGGGACUGAGACACGGCCCAGACUCCUACGGGAGGCAGCAGUAGGGAAUCUUCCGCAAUGGACGAAAGUCUGACGGAGCAACGCCGCGUGAGUGAUGAAGGUUUUCGGAUCGUAAAACUCUGUUGUUAGGGAAGAACAAGUACCGUUCGAAUAGGGCGGUACCUUGACGGUACCUAACCAGAAAGCCACGGCUAACUACGUGCCAGCAGCCGCGGUAAUACGUAGGUGGCAAGCGUUGUCCGGAGUUAUUGGGCGUAAAGCGCGCGCAGGCGGUUUCUUAAGUCUGAUGUGAAAGCCCCCGGCUCAACCGGGGAGGGUCAUUGGAAACUGGGGAACUUGAGUGCAGAAGAGGAGAGUGGAAUUCCACGUGUAGCGGUGAAAUGCGUAGAGAUGUGGAGGAACACCAGUGGCGAAGGCGACUCUCUGGUCUGUAACUGACGCUGAGGCGCGAAAGCGUGGGGAGCGAACAGGAUUAGAUACCCUGGU